GUUCUUAUCGUCUAAUGGUUAGGACACUACUCUUUCACAGUAGUAAUAUGGGUUCAAAUCCCAUUAAGAAUA
rnacentral:tRNA from 1 species